rnacentral:rRNA from 1 species
UACGUAGGUGGCAAACGUUGUCCGGAUUCACUGGGCGUAAAGCGCGCGCAGGCGGAUUGGUCAGUCUGGGGUGAAAUCUCUCGGCUCAACUGAGAGAGGUCCCUGGAUACUGCCAGUCUUGAGGGGCUCAGAGGAGAGUGGAAUUCCGCGUGUAGUGGUGGAGUGCGUAGAUACGCGGAGGAACACCAGUGGCGAAAGCGGCUCUCUGGGGGCCACCUGACGCUGAGGCGCGAAAGCGUGGGGAGCGAACCGG